GGCGUCAUCAUUCAAAUAAAGAGAACAGUCAGAGUAUGACUUGCGAUUAAUUGGAGGAUUACAGUCAUCCAGAAUGGCCUAGUUUAAAACUUUAGUCAUAGUAGAGUAUUUCAAAAUAAUCUAAUUAGUAUCUCAAAAUAACAUAAGCUAAAUAAGUGAAAUCCUAAAGAGAGCUAAGUAGCAGCGUCAGCGUCCUCCAGCACUUGCUCCAAGGGGACCUCCUCAACAACAUCUGCUCCCAUCCAAGUGGAUGAUCAUCGCAAAAGAAAGCAUACCCAAGCAACAUACAACACAAAAGUAAGGGUGAGCUAGGUAAACAAACAACAUACAUAUAAUACAGUCAAUCAAUGUCAUCAUGCUUAAUUAAACAUAAAAAGAACAAGAGGCAUACCAACCAAACCAUGCAUCAAAUACUCCACGUGACUCAUCCGGAUUUGGUAUAACUGUCUAGCUAUUGGUUGUCUUUGCACUUGCAUAGUUCAGCUGGCUCAUCCCCAACACUAUGCAAGGUAAAUCCCCCAAUCUGUCUAUGUCUAAACUCCAAGACUAUAGACGAGGACCUCCCUCUACUCUCACCA
rnacentral:lncRNA from 1 species